rnacentral:rRNA from 1 species
GACGGAGGGUGCUAGCGUUGUCCGGAAUCACUGGGCGUAAAGGGCGCGCAGGCGGCCCCGCCCGUCGGGCGUGAAAGCCCGGGGCUCAACCCCGGAACGGCGCCCGAGACGGCGGGGCUGGAGACCGGGAGAGGAGGGUGGAAUAGCCAGUGUAGAGGUGAAAUUCGUAGAUAUUGGCUGGAACACCGGUGGCGAAAGCGGCUCUCUGGCCCGGGUCUGACGCUGAGGCGCGAAAGCGUGGGGAGCAAACAGG